CCUACGGGAAGCAGCAGUGGGGGAUAUUGCACAAUGGGGGAAACCCUGCUGCAGCGACGCCGCGUGUGGGAAGACGGUCCUCUGGAUUGUAAACCACUGUCCCCAGGGACGAAGAUGACGGUACCUGGGGAGGAAGCUCCGGCUAACUACGUGCCAGCAGCCGCGGUAAUACGUAGGGAGCGAGCGUGGUCCGGAAUGACUGGGUGUAAAGGGAGCGUAGGCGGGACUGCAAGUUGGGUGUCAAAUCUACCGGCUCAACCGGUAGCCGCACUCAAAACUGCAGUUCUUGAGUGAAGUAGAGGCAGGCGGAAUUCCUAGUGUAGCGGUGAAAUGCGUAGAUAUUAGGAAGAACACCAGUGGCGAAGGCGGUCUGCUGGGCUUUUACUGACGCUGAGGCUCGAAAGUGUGGGGAGCAAACAGGAUUAGAUACCCCGGUAGUC
rnacentral:rRNA from 1 species